rnacentral:rRNA from 1 species
UACGUAGGGUGCAAGCGUUAAUCGGAAUUACUGGGCGUAAAGCGUGCGCAGGCGGUUUUGUAAGUCUGACGUGAAAUCCCCGGGCUCAACCUGGGAAUUGCGUUGGAGACUGCAAGGCUAGAAUCUGGCAGAGGGGGGUAGAAUUCCACGUGUAGCAGUGAAAUGCGUAAAGAUGUGGAGGAACACCGAUGGCAAAGGCAGCCCCCUGGGUCAAGAUUAACGCUCAUGCACGAAAGCGUGGGGAGAAAACAGG